rnacentral:rRNA from 1 species
UACAUGGGGUGCAAACGUUGCUCGGAAUUAUUGGGCGUAAAGCGCGCGUAGGUGGUUGCCUAUGUCGGAUGUGAAAGCCUUCGGCUUAACCGAAGAAGUGCACCCGAAACUGGGCAGCUAGAAUACUAAAGAGGGUCGCGGAAUUCCCGGUGUAGAGGUGAAAUUCGUAGAUAUCGGGAGGAACACCGGCGGCGAAGGCGGCGACCUGGGUAGAUAUUGACGCUGAGGCGCGAAAGCGUGGGGAGCAAACAGG